rnacentral:rRNA from 1 species
UGCAGUCGAGCGGACAGAUGGGAGCUUGCUCCCUGAUGUUAGCGGCGGACGGGUGAGUAACACGUGGGUAACCUGCCUGUAAGACUGGGAUAACUCCGGGAAACCGGGGCUAAUACCGGAUGGUUGUUUGAACCGCAUGGUUCAGACAUAAAAGGUGGCUUCGGCUACCACUUACAGAUGGACCCGCGGCGCAUUAGCUAGUUGGUGAGGUAACGGCUCACCAAGGCGACGAUGCGUAGCCGACCUGAGAGGGUGAUCGGCCACACUGGGACUGAGACACGGCCCAGACUCCUACGGGAGGCAGCAGUAGGGAAUCUUCCGCAAUGGACGAAAGUCUGACGGAGCAACGCCGCGUGAGUGAUGAAGGUUUUCGGAUCGUAAAGCUCUGUUGUUAGGGAAGAACAAGUGCCGUUCAAAUAGGGCGGCACCUUGACGGUACCUAACCAGAAAGCCACGGCUAACUACGUGCCAGCAGCCGCGGUAAUACGUAGGUGGCAAGCGUUGUCCGGAAUUAUUGGGCGUAAAGGGCUCGCAGGCGGUUUCUUAAGUCUGAUGUGAAAGCCCCCGGCUCAACCGGGGAGGGUCAUUGGAAACUGGGGAACUUGAGUGCAGAAGAGGAGAGUGGAAUUCCACGUGUAGCGGUGAAAUGCGUAGAGAUGUGGAGGAACACCAGUGGCGAAGGCGACUCUCUGGUCUGUAACUGACGCUGAGGAGCGAAAGCGUGGGGAGCGAACAGGAUUAGAUANNUGGUAGUCCACGCCGUAAACGAUGAGUGCUAAGUGUUAGGGGGUUUCCGCCCCUUAGUGCUGCAGCUAACGCAUUAAGCACUCCGCCUGGGGAGUACGGUCGCAAGACUGAAACUCAAGNAAUUGACGGGGGCCCGCACAAGCGGUGGAGCAUGUGGUUUAAUUCGAAGCAACGCGAAGAACCNUACCAGGUCUUGACAUCCUUCUGACAAUCCUAGAGAUAGGACGUCCCCUUUCGGGGGCAGAGUGACAGGUGGUGGCA